rnacentral:rRNA from 1 species
ACCAACAGGGAUUGCCCUAGUAACGGCGAGUGAAGCGGCAACAGCUCAAAUUUGAAAUCUGGCCUCGGCCCGAGUUGUAAUUUGCAGAGGAUGCUUCUGGCGCGGUGCCUUCCGAGUUCCCUGGAACGGGACGCCACAGAGGGUGAGAGCCCCGUAUGGUCGGACACCAAGCCUGUGUGAAGCUCCUUCGACGAGUCGAGUAGUUUGGGAAUGCUGCUCUAAAUGGGAGGUAAAUCUCUUCUAAAGCUAAAUACCGGCCAGAGACCGAUAGCGCACAAGUAGAGUGAUCGAAAGAUGAAAAGCACCUUGAAAAGGGGGUUAAAUAGUACGUGAAAUUGUUGAAAGGGAAGCACUUGUGACCAGACUUGGGCCGGGCGGCUCAUCAGGGGUUCUCCCCUGUGCACUCCGCCCGGCACAGGCCAGCAUCGGUUUUCGCGGGGGGACAAGACCGCCGGGAACGUAGCACCCUCCGGGGUGUGUUAUAGCCCGGCGGACGAUACCCCCGCGGGGACCGAGGUCCGCGCUCCGCAAGGAUGCUGGCGUAAUGGUCACCAGUGACCCGUCUUGAAACACGGACCAAGGAGUCGUCCAUUAGAGCGAGCGUUUGGGUGUAAAACCCGCACGCGUAAUGAAAGUGAACGCAGGUGAGAGCUUCGGCGCAUCAUCGACCGAUCCUGAUGUUCUCGGAAGGAUUUGAGUAAGAGUUUUAACGGACGGACCCGAAAGACAGUGAACUAUGCUUGUAUAGGGUGAAGCCAGAGGAAACUCUGGUGGAGGCUCGCAGCGGUUCUGACGUGCAAAUCGAUCGUCAAAUAUGAGCAUGGGGGCGAAAGACUAAUCGAACUGUCUAGUAGCUGGUUACCGCCGAAGUUUC